rnacentral:misc_RNA from 1 species
CCGACUCGAGAAUCUCAGUUCCAUACUUCCUGUCGUUCACGUUCCGCAUUCAAUUGUCUCUUUUCCCGCAAUCGUUCCGCAUUUUCAUUUAAACGUUUAUUAUUCUAAUUAUUUAAAUAUUAUUACGUUAAACGGUGAUAUUGUUUCGUUUUAUUCGCUAAAAUUAUCGUCACGAUAAUUAUUAUUAAGACGGGAGGUUAAUCUAACCUUAUUUGGUAUUCUUCUUUUCUCUGUGUUAAAAAACACACGCAUCCAUUUAUAGAGACUUGUUAUUUGUUUUUAUUAUUUAUAAAUUCGGAGUUGUGUGUAGGAAGAGAUUGAUAGAAAGAUAUAAACAGAUUAAAUAGAUACUUCAAGGAAGCCGGUGAAGUGAGUGUGAGAGAGAAAGAGAAAGAGAAGAAUAAGAAGGAGAAGAAGAAAGAAGGAAGGAACAACUGGCAUUAAAUCGAAAAUUCUUUUGUUCUCUCGCUCCACUUUUGGUGUCGGAGAAGUAUAUACACGUGAACCAAUCGUGGAACGGUAUCGAAGUGAAUCUCGUUAGGGAGUGCAGAGAAGACACGCUGCGGCGAAUUAGUCGAAUACAAGAGGGAUCGAUUACGUACAUAACCUCGAACUUUUCUCGUGUACGCCCUUAUUUUCGUAUUCUCUUAAUCUUAUCUUCAAUAUUUUAUCGUUUUAUUUAUUUCGGUUAUUAAAAUCGGUGUAUAGACAAAAAAAAACAACAAUCAUAUCAAGUAGUGUUAGUGUGAUAUUAUUGGUAAAGAGAAAAAUAAAAAAACAAAUAUGACAAAAAUAAACUUGACAAACGAAAAACCAUCGUUGUCAUCGACUUCGUGUAAAAAUCUCAUCGAUCAGCAAAAAAAGAAGAAAGAGGAAGGAGAGAAAGAAUCUUUUACAACACAGGUUAGGAAAGAGGAAAAUAAAGGGAUGUCCGAGGAUGUUGGUAUUAAUAUCCGAAAUCAAGAAAAUAAACAACAGGAGGAGGACGAGAAUGAGAAUGAGGAAUCGGUGAAAAAGAAAGUGGAAGAAACGAUGAUCAAAAUUACUCGAUGCAUCGAAUGCGUUCAGAUCGUGCCACUGAUGCAGAUAAAGUAAAAAGGGCGUCGUCAAGGACGUAGAAGACGUAGAAUAUAAUCCUAGCGUAGAGAAUAGAAUGCUUCUCCUGCCACCUUCGCAGUAGCUGCAGCAGACUUGAGGGCAACGACCCAUCGAUCCUUCGGGAGAACCUAUACGAGACUAGGCCAACCGGAAUACUGCACUAUGACCACUACGAUGGACAUAAUACGAUCUAUAUAUUUACAUUAUUCAUAUAUAUGCAUGCACGUAUAUUACAUAGAUAUAGAAUAAUUAAUAGAGUAUUACUUUCCAUCAAUAAGUUUCAUUAAAUAUUUGUCUCUUAAUACGUAACAGAUAUCACGUCAUUUUAACCAAUAUCUGCAUUAAAAAUAUUACAUUUUUUCUUUUAUCUUAUUUUCUUUUCUUUAUUUCAAUAUUUUAACACCAUCGGUGUUUAUGAACACAACUCGUUGACGUUUACUACGUACACUGUCAACCAAAAUUUCAAUUGUAAAUUAAAAAAAAAUAAGCAGAA